UACGUAGGGUGCGAGCGUUGUCCGGAAUUAUUGGGCGUAAAGAGCUCGUAGGCGGCUUGUUGCGUCGGAUGUGAAAGCCCGGGGCUUAACCCCGGGUCUGCAUUCGAUACGGGCAGGCUGGAGUUCGGUAGGGGAGAUCGGAAUUCCUGGUGUAGCGGUGAAAUGCGCAGAUAUCAGGAGGAACACCGGUGGCGAAGGCGGUUCUCUGGGCCUUACCUGACGCUGAGGAGCGAAAGCGUGGGGAGCGAACAGG
rnacentral:rRNA from 1 species